GUACACUCCUGCGGGAGGCAGCAGUGGGGAAUAUUGCACAAUGGGCGCAAGCCUGAUGCAGCCAUGCCGCGUGUAUGAAGAAGGCCUUCGGGUUGUAAAGUACUUUCAGCGGGGAGGAAGGCAAUACGGUUAAUAACCGUGUUGAUUGACGUUACCCGCAGAAGAAGCACCGGCUAACUCCGUGCCAGCAGCCGCGGUAAUACGGAGGGUGCAAGCGUUAAUCGGAAUUACUGGGCGUAAAGCGCACGCAGGCGGUCUGUCAAGUCGGAUGUGAAAUCCCCGGGCUCAACCUGGGAACUGCAUUCGAAACUGGCAGGCUUGAGUCUUGUAGAGGGGGGUAGAAUUCCAGGUGUAGCGGUGAAAUGCGUAGAGAUCUGGAGGAAUACCGGUGGCGAAGGCGGCCCCCUGGACAAAGACUGACGCUCAGGUGCGAAAGCGUGGGGAGCAAACAGGAUUAGAAACCCUGGUAGUCCCAU
rnacentral:rRNA from 1 species